rnacentral:ncRNA from 1 species
AGGUGGCUGUUAGUAUGUUAGCAGCUCCCGAUGAAAACAUCGGGAUGAAAAGCGGGCUAAUUCAGGGAAAUCCAGCAUUAAUUUGCAGGAAUUAUGAAUCAAAUACAGUUUAAAUUAGCGCUGGGUAAUCCUGAGCUACCCCAAAGUUUCGGGGGAGUGCAGAGACUUUACACCCGCUACCUAAACUCCGAUACUCCAUCGGAGCAAGGUAAAGAGAAAGUCCGACUCUCUGAGUAAUCAGAGU